rnacentral:rRNA from 1 species
GUAGGUGGCAAGCGUUGUCCGGAAUUAUUGGGCGUAAAGCGCGCGCAGGCGGUUCUUUAAGUCUGAUGUGAAAGCCCACGGCUCAACCGUGGAGGGUCAUUGGAAACUGGAGAACUUGAGUACAGAAGAGGAAAGCGGAAUUCCACGUGUAGCGGUGAAAUGCGUAGAGAUGUGGAGGAACACCAGUGGCGAAGGCGGCUUUCUGGUCUGUAACUGACGCUGAGGCGCGAAAGCGUGGGGAGCAAACAGGAUUAGAUACCCUGGUAGUCCACGCCGUAAACGAUGAGUGCUAAGUGUUGGGGGGGUUUCCGCCCCCCUUAGUGCUGCAGCUAACGCAUUAAGCGCUCCGCCUGGGAGUACGGCCGCAAGGCUG